rnacentral:rRNA from 1 species
AUACGUAGGUGGCAAGCGUUGUCCGGAAUUAUUGGGCGUAAAGCGCGCGCAGGUGGUUCCUUAAGUCUGAUGUGAAAGCCCCCGGCUCAACCGGGGAGGGUCAUUGGCAACUGGGGAACUUGAGUGCAGAAGAGGAUAGUGGAAUUCCCAGUGUAGCGGUGAAAUGCGUAGAGAUUUGGAGGAACACCAGUGGCGAAGGCGACUGUCUGGUCUGUAACUGACACUGAGGCGCGAAAGCGUGGGGAGCAAACAGGAUUAGAUACCCUGGUAGUCCACGCCGUAAACGAUGAGUGCUAAGUGUUGGGGGGUUUCCGCCCCUCAGUGCUGCAGCUAACGCAUUAAGCACUCCGCCUGGGGAGUACGGUCGCAAGACUGAAACUCAAAUGAAUUGACGGGG